GACGAGCGCUGGCGGCGUGCUUAACACAUGCAAGUCGUACGGUAAGGCCCUUUCGGGGGUACACGAGUGGCGAACGGGUGAGUAACACGUGAGUAACCUGCCCACAACUUUGGGAUAACGCUAGGAAACUGGUGCUAAUACUGGAUAUGUGCCCCUGCUGCAUGGUGGGGGUUGGAAAGCUCCGGCGGUUGUGGAUGGACUCGCGGCCUAUCAGCUUGUUGGUGGGGUAGUGGCCUACCAAGGCGGCGACGGGUAGCCGGCCUGGGAGGGUGACCGGCCACAUUGGGACUGAGAUACGGCCCAGACUCCUACGGGAGGCAGCAGUGGGGAAUAUUGCACAAUGGGCGCAAGCCUGAUGCAGCAACGCCGCGUGCGGGAUGACGGCCUUCGGGUUGUAAACCGCUUUCAGCAGGGACGAAGCUUUUUGUGACGGUACCUGCAGAAGAAGCACCGGCUAACUACGUG
rnacentral:rRNA from 1 species